rnacentral:rRNA from 1 species
GUGAGGAAUAUUGGUCAAUGGGCGGGAGCCUGAACCAGCCAAGUCGCGUGAAGGAAGAAGGAUCUAUGGUUCGUAAACUUCUUUUGCAGGGGAAUAAAGUGCGGGACGUGUCCUGUUUUGUAUGUACCCUGAGACUAAGGAUCGACUAACUCCGUGCCAGCAGCCGCGGUAAUACGGAGGAUCCGAGCGUUAUCCGGAUUUAUUGGGUUUAAAGGGUGCGUAGGUGGUUUGAUAAGUCAGCGGUGAAAGUUUGAAGCUUAACUGUAAAAAUGCCGUUGAAACUGUCGGACUUGAGUGUAAAUGAGGUAGGCGGAAUGCGUGGUGUAGCGGUGAAAUGCAUAGAUAUCACGCAGAACUCCGAUUGCGAAGGCAGCUUACUAAGCUACAACUGACACUGAAGCACGAAAGCGUGGGGAUCAAACAGGAUUAGAAACCCGGGUAGUCC